CUACCGGAAAGGCGGAAGAGGGCAGAACUGGGGAGUCACAGGAGGCUCAGUGUCCUGCUCCUAGGAAGAAAAAGCGCUGGAGCCGAGCCAGAGCCUUCCUCAAGUUCUUCCAACGCCAGAGAGACGGCUCACGAGGACAAGCCAAGUCACCCCCAGACAGCCUUCCUGGGCCCCUGGAGGCCAUGCCAUCGUGCUCAUACUGGGAGGAGGAGGGAGACGCCCGCAGGGGGCCCCCACCAAAAGCAAAGGGGCAACGAAAGAGUGCCUUUUGGAGCAGGAAGAAGCAGGACAAAGUCAAAGACCAGCCUCCAGUGGCCAGCUCCGCUUGGUCUAAGAUUCUCAAAUCCUGCACAUCUGGGCACAUCCCACCCUCUCCUCCCUAAAUAGCCUCUCCCUUUUUUCCCCACCCCGAAGAUUUAUAAUCCUUUCCCUUUAUCCCUGUCUUGAUCAUAUACCCUUUAUUUCUGAAAAUUUAAAAAAAAAAAGUUUAAAAGAAGAAGAAAAAAAAAAU